GGUCAUGAGUGCCAGUGCCAAGCCCCGGCUCGCUGGUCGGCAACCCUCCUCCGCGGUGGGGUGCUCCGGGUGACGACCUGGCGCGCAUCGAAACCGCGAUGCGGCAAGUGCGGAUU
rnacentral:ncRNA from 1 species